GUGGUGGUAUGUUUUUGUAAAUAGUGAUUCCCAACUUAAAACUUUGUUCAAUAUGAACCAAGGAUUGCAGUUAUAUAAAAAAUACAUUGAAAGUAACCCUUGACAAGAUUAUCUUAUUGAAUGGAGAUUGUUUUCAAUGCAUUUAACCUACUUUAUUACACAUCCUUCUAAAGCAAUGUAUCAGAACUGCUAGUAUUUGUUAUUCAGACUAUUGUUUAGAUGCAUAUUUUGAAAGCAUGUGAUUUAGAAAUCCAAAGCCCAUACCUGCCAGC
rnacentral:lncRNA from 1 species